UGCAGAUGUAUCGUGCAGCCGUGCGUGGCUGCGAAGCACGAUGUCCACCCGCGGACGGACGACGGCCAACUGACUGGCGUUCGCGCCACACAAUUACUCGUCCAAGGAAGUACUAGCCGAUGCCACAUUUUAAAAUAUUAUGUAUAAUCCGUCAUGUCUAUGGCACUACGAACACAUGGUUGCGGGAAUUAGUGACACUUCAAAGACUGCUCCUCUUUGCAUUACUUUCAAGUUUCUUGACUUACAAGAUGAAGAGACAAUCUGACCAAUGAAGAUGAUCAUAAUCAAGACGCUUUGAAUGCUUUAUAGUUUUUGUGGUCACGGAGGAUGAAAGUCGAAAAUAAUAUGAUGACAAUAAAAACCGCGAGCGGUUUAACGCUCGGCGCGGUCAUAAAACCUCCAUCUUCGGAUCCGAGAUACAUUCUUGACAAAGCUUUUACGCUCUGAGGAACCAUUUAAGAGCUAUAAAGAUCAAAAUUGAACAAUCAUCGUGUUUACUAUAAGAACGAAACAGUGAUUCGUUGGAUACGGGCGGAAGUUUAAGAGUCAGGAAACUCAUAAAGAAUUAAUACUGAAACACGUCCACAGUUUGACAGACACUGGGACUACAGAGUAUUUCUGGAUUAGUACCGUGCGGAACGUUUAGUCACCAUUUGUUUCAUCCCGACUCGAAUCGACCUUCCACAAUAUAAAGUUGACGAAUAAAGCUAUAAGCACGAUCAAUUAGCUGCCGCAAAUCUAUGAAUUUAAUAGCUAUAUAUUACAGAUUUAGGUGGGCCAUGACAACACUGACUGUUGGCAAUACGCAAAGAAAAGUCGACAUCGCAAGCAUGGAAUGAAACAUCUCUUACCGUUCACGUGUUUACAUAUCGCAUCUUUAUCCCUCAGCUCGACGAGUUCCUUUUCAAUGUUCCAUUGAGGUGAUUCCGGCUUGCUGGACACCCUGCCAACGAAACGUUUGGACACAUCAAUAAUUAUUUCAAGCUCUAUUGUUACAAAACAACCACGUACAGUUAUUCAGUGCAUGACAAAAUGUCUCUUAUUGUCUGACGUUCAAAGGUCAAUGAUCGCCUCACCACUCGAAGCUCACAACAGUCUUAGGUUCAAGACCGAGUAAACGACAAUUGAUCAUAUUUAACGUCACCGGUAAAAAAAAACAUGAUUCAUAUUUAAUUUGAACGGAAGGUACAUAAUGAAAUUUACUAACUACACAUGAAGUACAAUAAUGACUAAUUCACGUUUUAUAUGUAUAUAAGCACUGACCUAAA